rnacentral:tRNA from 1 species
GUCCCUGUAGCUCAGAUGAAUAGAGCGCAACCCUGCGAAGGUUGAGGUCGCCAGUUUGAGCCUGGCCGGGGACUCCA